AUACUCGCUUCGGCGGUACAUAUAGUAAAAUUGGAACGAUACAGAGGAGAUUAUCAUGGCCCCUGCACAUCGAUGACACUACAGCUGGUACGGUAGCUCAGCGUGUU